rnacentral:lncRNA from 1 species
GUAUUAAUUUGAUGGUGUAUAUGUUUACAAUCUUGCUGAAAGUAUUUAAACUUUAUACAACAUAAUAUGCGAAGUAAAUAAAAACAAGGAAAGUUUAUAUUAGUAUGUUGGUAGGUCGGCGGGUGGACCGGCGGAGUGGAGUGGAGUGGAGGGCCAGUACAUUACAACAGGUGUGUGUUGGCUGUGGGUGUGGAGUCAGCCAGGCUGCCAGGUACUGUAGUUACCAUGUUACCUCCUCAACCGGUUCGUCACCCCACCGCACACAC